GGAGAGUUGUCAGAGAGGUUUAAUGAGACGGUCUUGAAAACCGUUGGGUACUGGAAGGUGCUCCAUGGGUUCGAAUCCCAUACUCUCUU
rnacentral:tRNA from 1 species